rnacentral:rRNA from 1 species
AGUGAACGCUGGCGGUAGGCCUAACACAUGCAAGUCGAACGGGAGAACAGGAGAGCUUGCCCUCUGUGUGGCGAGUGGCGGACGGGUUAGGAAUACAUCGGCAUAUACUCUGUCGUGGGGGACACCGUAGGGAAACUAACGCUAAUACCGCAUACGACCUACGGGUGGCAGACGGGGACCUUCGGGCCUAGCGCGUUCGACUGAGCCGAUGUCGGAUGAGCUAGUUGGCGGGGUAAAGACGCACCAAGGCGACGACCCGUAGUUGGUCGGAGGGGUUGUGCAGCCACACUGGAACUGGGACACGGUCCAGACUCCUACGGGAGGCGGCAGUGGGGAAUAUUGGACAAUGGGCGCAAGCCUGAUCCAGCCAUACCCCUUGGGUGAAGAAGGCCUUCGGGUUGUAAGGCCCUUUUGUUGGGAAAGAGAUCCAGCUGUCUAAUACCCGGUUGGGAUGACGGUACCCAAAGAAUAAGCACCGGCUAACUUCGUGCCAGCCGCCGCGGUAA